GUCCCUCCACAGAGAGACGUCAGAAUCAGAGGCUCCUGCAACUUAUUCUUUUAUUUCUCAAUGCCCCUUGGCAACCAUUAUUCCACCUGACCGUUUGAUCUUUUCUUGAAUGGGUUCCCACGUGGCUGUUAGGUGAGAUAUGAACCGUGAAAUGCAGUUCAAUCUACCUGAGAAACCACAAACCUUUUUUUUUUUCUGUUCAGGCAUUUCUUUUUUCCUUUUUCUUCCUUUUUUUUUCUUUCUCCUUUUUUUUAGCAGGAUCAACCUCGAUUCCUCUCUUACAAU
rnacentral:lncRNA from 1 species